rnacentral:rRNA from 1 species
UACGUAGGGCGCAAGCGUUUGUCCGGAAUUAUUGGGCGUAAAGAGCUCGUAGGCGGCUUGUCACGUCGGUUGUGAAAGCCCGGGGCUUAACCCCGGGUCUGCAGUCGAUACGGGCAGGCUAGAGUGUGGUAGGGGAGAUCGGAAUUCCUGGUGUAGCGGUGAAAUGCGCAGAUAUCAGGAGGAACACCGGUGGCGAAGGCGGGUCUCUGGGCCGAUACUGACGCUGAGGGACGAAAGCUAGGGGAGCGAACGGG